GACGAACGCUGGCGGCGUGCUUAACACAUGCAAGUCGAACGGAAAGGCCCUGCUUUUGUGGGGUGCUCGAGUGGCGAACGGGUGAGUAACACGUGAGUAACCUGCCCUUGACUUUGGUAUAACUUCAGGAAACUGGGGCUAAUACCGGAUAGGAUCUCCUGCUGCAUGGUGGGGGUUGGAUCGUCUCGGCGGUUGGGGAUGGACUCGCGGCUUAUCAGCUUGUUGGUGGGGUAGUGGCUUACCAAGGCUUUGACGGGUAGCCGGCCUGAGAGGGUGACCGGCCACAUUGGGACUGAGAUACGGCCCAGACUCCUACGGGAGGCAGCAGUGGGGAAUAUUGCACAAUGGGCGGAAGCCUGAUGCAGCAACGCCGCGUGCGGGAUGACGGCCUUCGGGUUGUAAACCGCUUUCGCCUGUGACGAAGCGUGAGUGACGGUAAUGGGUAAAGAAGCACCGGCUAACUACGUG
rnacentral:rRNA from 1 species